rnacentral:rRNA from 1 species
UACAGAGGUCUCAAGCGUUGUUCGGAUUCAUUGGGCGUAAAGGGUGCGUAGGCGGCGGGAGAAGUCUGGUGUGAAAUCCCGGGGCUCAACCCCGGAACUGCACUGGAUACUCUCCUGCUAGAGCACUGGAGAGGAGACUGGAAUUUACGGUGUAGCAGUGAAAUGCGUAGAGAUCGUAAGGAAGACCAGUGGCGAAGGCGAGUCUCUGGACAGUUGCUGACGCUGAGGCACGAAGGCCAGGGGAGCAAACGGG